rnacentral:rRNA from 1 species
CCUACGGGUGGCAGCAGUGGGGAAUAUUGCACAAUGGGGGAAACCCUGAUGCAGCAACGCCGCGUGAAGGAAGACGGCUUUCGGAUUGUAAACUUCUGUUCUCAGUGAAGAAUAAUGACGGUAGCUAAGGAGCAAGCCACGGCUAAACACGUGCCAGCAGCCGCGGUAAUAUGGAGGUGGCAAGCGUUGUCCGGAAUUACUGGGUGUAAAGGGAACGCAGGCGGGAAGCCAAGUCAGCUGUGAAACCCCCGGGCUUAACUUGUAAACUGCAGUUGAAACUGGUUGUCUUGAGUGAAGUAGAGGUUGGCGGAAUUCCGGGUGUAGCGGUGAAAUGCGUAGAUAUUCGGAGGAACACCGGUGGCGAAGGCGGCCAGCUGGGCUGUGACUGACGCUGAGGCUCGAAAGUGUGGGGAGCAAACAGGAUUAGAUACCCUUGUAGUC